CAGUCGCCGCGGGAAUACGUAGGUGGCAAGCGUUGUCCGGAAUUAUUGGGCGUAAAGGGCUCGCAGGCGGUUUCUUAAGUCUGAUGUGAAAGCCCCCGGCUCAACCGGGGAGGGUCAUUGGAAACUGGGAAACUUGAGUGCAGAAGAGGAGAGUGGAAUUCCACGUGUAGCGGUGAAAUGCGUAGAGAUGUGGAGGAACACCAGUGGCGAAGGCGACUCUCUGGUCUGUAACUGACGCUGAGGAGCGAAAGCGUGGGGAGCGAACAGGAUUAGAUACCCCCGUAGUCCCUGUCUCUUAUAA
rnacentral:rRNA from 1 species